AAACUAAACUCUAAAUAUAAAUAUAAAUUAAUUAAAGUUAUAAUUCUUCUCCAACUCAAUCCAUUAUCUCCGAAUCAAGUUUAUGAUCCUCACUCUCAUCGCCAAACCCUAACCCAUAGUUUCUCUUACAUUGAUUUUCCAAAGCCGAUCGUCCAUCGCACUAAUCUAAUCAAACCGCGCUGCGCCGUCCGAUACAAUCUACACCAGCGCUGUGCUUUUCCGCCGCCGCUCUUAGUCUUUUUCCGGUUGCCGCCUCCCCUCUUCGAAGGCCGUUUGAGGUUGGAUCUAGGCAAUACAUCGUCUUCCCUGGACGUUUUAUCUACACACAGAGGCUUAAAGGCGCAAGUGUAAACGACAAGGAUUUUGAAAUUUAUAUACUAAUUAUGAGCAUGGAAGUUACAUUGCACAAAACAAGCUCAUCUUCAGGUAUAUAUAUAUAUAUAUAU